rnacentral:rRNA from 1 species
CGGAGGGUGCAAGCGUUAAUCGGAAUUACUGGGCGUAAAGCGCACGCAGGCGGUCUGUCAAGUCGGAUGUGAAAUCCCCGGGCUCAACCUGGGAACUGCAUUCGAAACUGGCAGGCUAGAGUCUUGUAGAGGGGGGUAGAAUUCCAGGUGUAGCGGUGAAAUGCGUAGAGAUCUGGAGGAAUACCGGUGGCGAAGGCGGCCCCCUGGACAAAGACUGACGCUCAGGUGCGAAAGCGUGGGGAGCAAACAGGAUUAGAUACCCUGGUAGUCCACGCCGUAAACGAUGUCGACUUGGAGGUUGUUCCCUUGAGGAGUGGCUUCCGGAGCUAACGCGUUAAGUCGACCGCCUGGGGAGUACGGCCGCAAGGUUA